rfam:Ixodes scapularis strain Wikel colony gcontig_1108379794878, whole genome shotgun sequence.
CCCUGUUUAGCUCAGUUGGUAGAGCGCUCCACUUGUAAUGGAGAGGUCCCGGGUUCGAUACCCGGACCAGGCG